CACGGCCGGUCCCCCAAAAUACAGUGACGUUCUGCGCAGCUCCAUCGCGUAGUAGCUAACACCUCGCGACUGGAGAGCGGCGCGGCCACGCCGUAAAACACCCAACUCUCUGAAGUUGACCUCGAAUCAGGUAGGAAUACCCGCUGAACUUAAGCAUAUCAAUAAGCGGAGGAAAAGAAACCAACAGGGAUUGCCCCAGUAACGGCGAGUGAAGCGGCAACAGCUCAAAUUUGAAAUCUGGCUCUCGGGCCCGAGUUGUAAUUUGUAGAGGAUGCUUUUGGUGAGGUGCCUUCCGAGUUCCCUGGAACGGGACGCCAUAGAGGGUGAGAGCCCCGUCUGGUUGGACGCCGAACCUCUGUAAAGCUCCUUCGACGAGUCGAGUAGUUUGGGAAUGCUGCUCUAAAUGGGAGGUAUAUGUCUUCUAAAGCUAAAUACCGGCCAGAGACCGAUAGCGCACAAGUAGAGUGAUCGAAAGAUGAAAAGAACUUUGAAAAGAGAGUUAAACAGUACGUGAAAUUGUUGAAAGGGAAGCGCUUGUGACCAGACUUGGGCUUGGUUGAUCAUCCGGGGUUCUCCCCGGUGCACUCUUCCGGCCUAGGCCAGCAUCAGUUCGCCCUGGGGGAUAAAGGCUUCGGGAACGUGGCUCUCUCCGGGGAGUGUUAUAGCCCGCUGCGUAAUACCCUGUGGCGGACUGAGGUUCGCGCAUUCGCAAGGAUGCUGGCGUAAUGGUCAUCAGUGACCCGUCUUGAAACACGGACCAAGGAGUCGUCUUCGUAUGCGAGUGUUCGGGUGUCAAACCCCUACGCGAAAUGAAAGUGAACGCAGGUGAGAGCUUCGGCGCAUCAUCGACCGAUCCUGAUGUUAUCGGAUGGAUUUGAGUAAGAGCAUACGGGGCCGGACCCGAAAGAAGGUGAACUAUGCCUGUGUAGGGUGAAGCCAGAGGAAACUCUGGUGGAGGCUCGCAGCGGUUCUGACGUGCAAAUCGAUCGUCAAACAUGGGCAUGGGGGCGAAAGACUAAUCGAACGUCUUGGU
rnacentral:rRNA from 1 species